GAAGCUGACCAGACAGUCGCCGCUUCGUCGUCGUCCUCUUCGGGGGAGACGGGCGGAGGGGAGGAAAGUCCGGGCUCCAUAGGGCAGGGUGCCAGGUAACGCCUGGGGGGGAAACCCACGACCAGUGCAACAGAGAGCAAACCGCCGAUGGCCCACGCAAGUGGGAUCAGGUAAGGGUGAAAGUACGGCCCGUACUGAACCCGGGUAGGCUGCUUGAGCCAGUGAGCGAUUGCUGGCCUAGAUGAAUGACUGUCCACGACAGAACCCGGCUUAUCGGUCAGCUUCACUC
rnacentral:RNase_P_RNA from 1 species